rnacentral:rRNA from 1 species
AUGCUUGACCCUGCGUUCGACAAGGGUCAUCGUGCCCGUUUCAUUGAGAAUGGAGUGAUGCUCCCGCCACUUCGGAUGAGGGGUCACAAGACGACCGUUAAGAUGGAGUAUGAUGAGCGGUACGCACCAUUCUAUAGGAGAGCCCGACUAUUGGGUUUCGUCCUGCUGUUCAAGCAUAAGCCGUCGAUGCUCGUCCACUCAGCUCUCACGGCUUUGACCGACCGGUGGCAGCCAGAGAUGCACAACUUCCAUCUUCCAUGUGGGGAGAUGACGGUGACCCUCCAGGAUUGGGGGAUGAUUACUGCCCUACCGCUCGAGGGUCGUGCU